CCCACAUGGCGACAUCCUGGGCAGAGCUCACCUGGCCAGCGCUCCUCAGGAGCUAAGGAUGACCUCUGCAUUCCUCAGCUUCUACAUCCAGAAAAUGACGGUGGCUGAUAAGAGCACUACCCUCAGCAGGACUUUGUGAAAAUAGAGUGGGAAACAGAAUGCUGGGGAUGAUGCCUGCCACAAAGCUCAAGCUCCUGUGUCUGCUGUUUGGUGAUGCCCAGCGUGAUCUUCUCCAAAAGUUCUGGCUGAUCACCAUGACCUGAGCCACCAGAAGCUCCUAGUGGCCAAAACAGGGCUGUUUUCACAGACGCCACCAGGCCCAGCCUCAACUGUCCCUUCCACUUGCACACACCAAGACAUGUCCUGGAGCCAGAACCUCUUCUGCAGGAAGGAAAGAGUUGCCAAGCAAGCAAGAGUUCCCUGCUUCCUGGCUGCUAUGAGGUGAACAACAUUCCCUUCCACCAUGAUUUUUCUGCCUCACCAUGCACAGGCCCAGAAGCAAUGGAGCCAAGUGACCAUGGACUUAAACCUCUGAAGGCACAAGCCAAAAUAAAU